rnacentral:rRNA from 1 species
AACGAACGCUGGCGGCAGGCCUAACACAUGCAAGUCGAGCGCGCCCUUCGGGGUGAGCGGCGGACGGGUGAGUAACGCGUGGGAACGUGCCCUUCUCUGCGGAAUAGCCUCGGGAAACUGAGAGUAAUACCGCAUACGCCCUUUGGGGGAAAGAUUUAUCGGAGAAGGAUCGGCCCGCGUUGGAUUAGGUAGUUGGUGGGGUAAUGGCCCACCAAGCCGACGAUCCAUAGCUGGUUUGAGAGGAUGAUCAGCCACACUGGGACUGAGACACGGCCCAGACUCCUACGGGAGGCAGCAGUGGGGAAUCUUAGACAAUGGGGGCAACCCUGAUCUAGCCAUGCCGCGUGAGCGAUGAAGGCCUUAGGGUUGUAAAGCUCUUUCAGCUGGGAAGAUAAUGACGGUACCAGCAGAAGAAGCCCCGGCUAACUCCGUG